AACGAACGCUGGCGGCAUGCCUAACACAUGCAAGUCGAACGAGACCUUCGGGUCUAGUGGCGCACGGGUGCGUAACGCGUGGGAACCUGCCCUUAGGUUCGGAAUAACUCCCCGAAAGGGGUGCUAAUACCGGAUAAUGUCUUCGGACCAAAGAUUUAUCGCCUUUGGAUGGGCCCGCGUUGGAUUAGCUAGUUGGUAGGGUAAAAGCCUACCAAGGCGACGUUCCAUAGCUGGUCUGAGAGGAUGGUCAGCCACACUGGGGCUGAGACACGGCCCAGACUCCUACGGGAGGCAGCAGUGGGGAAUAUAGGACAAUGGGCGAAAGCCUGAACCAGCAAUGCCGCGUGAGUGAUGAAGGCCUUAGGGUUGUAAAGCUCUUUUACCCGGGAUGAUAAUGAUAGUACCGGGAGAAUAAGCUCCGGCUAACUCCGUG
rnacentral:rRNA from 1 species